CAACGGGGCGCUGCAGUAGGGAAUCUUAGACAAUGGGGGAAACCCUGAUCUAGCCAUGCCGCGUGAGUGAUGAAGGCCUUAGGGUUGUAAAGCUCUUUCGCUGGGGAAGAUAAUGACGGUACCCAGUAAAGAAACCCCGGCUAACUCCGUGCCAGCAGCCGCGGUAAUACGGAGGGGGUUAGCGUUGUUCGGAAUUACUGGGCGUAAAGCGCGCGUAGGCGGGCUAUUAAGUCAGGGGUGAAAUCCCGGGGCUCAACCCCGGAAUUGCCUUUGAUACUGGUAGUCUUGAGUUCGAGAGAGGUGAGUGGAAUUCCGAGUGUAGAGGUGAAAUUCGUAGAUAUUCGGAGGAACAUCAGUGGCGAAGGCGACUCACUGGCUCGAUACUGACGCUGAGGUGCGAAAGUGUGGGGAGCAAACAGGAUUAGAUACCCCGGUAGUC
rnacentral:rRNA from 1 species